CUUUUCGCUCACCUUGCUGAUCCUGGUCACGCCACUAUUUUUGCUGUAAGCACCACUUUUCUUUUAACUCUAGCAACAUACAACCUGAAACCUAUUUUCUUGUCCCAUGUUAGAAUUUGCAGAAUUUAUGAGAAAAAGGACUGACUAACAUUCUCUCUGAAGCACAUGUUAUCUUAUUUUAUAGAGGAUUAGAGUAACAUUAGUAGGAGCAAGCACAACUUAACUGUGUUCAUGCUUUUAAGCACACAAUAUUAGGAUUAAACUACUACCACACAAGUAAUACAAUGCAUAUAUAUUUAGAAAAGUGAAGAUCUUGAGGUUAUUCUCUAUCACUGCUUAUAUAUGCAGAAAAACAAAAACUAAAAACAGAAUUUCUAACACCAAUUUGAGUAACUACACUAUUUCUGUUUUGUCCUACAGGCUUUUCAGUCCUAAGUAAGAAGCAGGAGCACCAUUUGUUGGCAUUGAUGUGUUGGAGUGACACUCUGAAGAUCUGAAGAAAGAAAUUUUAGAAAUUGUUUUCCAACUUAAUGUUGUAUCACUAAUCUUAAAUUACCUCUGUGUCCAUCUUCUGUAGAAAAUGAUUAAGCAGUGUACAAAUACCUAUCGGAACUCCUAACAGCACUAAAAUAAAUACCAAGACCUCAUUAAGCUGCAUCCAUGUGCAUGAUUCAAGAUUUUAAUUGCAAUGUCGAAGGAUUGCAUAGAGGUGUUCGUAACACGUAAAGGUAGACAAUAACAAUCCUAGGAAGAUCUUUUCGUAUUUAAAAUUACUAGUCAAUAGUACGCGCGUUGUGCGUGUACCUUAUCUAAAUGAGUAAAAAGUUUUAAAAAAUUAUAUAAAUAUUUUAUUUAAAAUUAUGUUUGAAUUAUAAAAUUAAAGUGCAAGUCCUGAAAAUGAAGAAUAUUGAACUCAAUAAGGACAAAUAGUUCCACAAAGAAGUUCUCAAUCGCGGUAAAUAUUUUGAAAAAGAAAAAAUCAUCUGUCAAUAUACAAAGAUUAAACUAUAGUAAUUUAUCACGAUUAAGUGACAAAAAAGGUGAAAAUAUAUAUUAAUUAACUAUGAUUCAGUAAUAAUAUUAAAUAUAAAGACAGAUAUCAUAAAUAUAAUAUGUGUUGUAAUAUUAUAAAGCAUAUUAUUUUUAUUCUUAGUCACCAGAUUUAUAGUAACUACGUAAAAGGAAGUUCUUGUAUACAUAGACUAAUGUAGAAUAUAUGAAUAAUACUGUUCUUUUCCUUAUUUGAGGUAAAUUAUCAAGUGAAUUUAAACUCCUAAAAUUAUAGGAUCUAAUUCAAUAAGGAAAGAUAUAAUAAUUAAAAUUUAGUUGAUUUCAAAGUCCAAAAUAUUAGGAAAAUAAUUCAAAUGACUAUUUUGUCUAAUGUGAAAUCUAAUUUUAAAGGGUAAAAAAGGCGAACGACAUUUCGCGAAGGGUUUUCGUACUUUUAAUAUAGUAUAGAUAGAUAUAGAUAUAGAUAGAUUUACAAGUCAAAAAUCGGAUCUAAGACGUACCCGGUGGAGACUCUCGUUUCAAAAUAUUUUCGACAGUGCGAAAAUUCUAUGCGUAUAGAGAGUAAAUAUUUAAGAUUAAGUAUACAAGAGGUACUUCCUUCCUUUCUUUAACAAACAAAAAAAACAGGAAUUCAAAAAAAGAAGACAGAUGUAGCGGAGCUGCUCAAGCCUUAGAAACAAAACUACUUUGGAAUGCUGAUAAGGAACUAAACUUGGGAAGACUCGCAUUUUCAUAACAUUUUCUGAUUUAAGUAAUGACACUUUGGGUUUGAACAUGACAAAGACCAAAUUAGAUUUCUAAAAACAAAAAGACUACUGCCACCUUAUUCUGAAUAAUUAUUUUUUUUUAAAUAAUGGUGGUGUCUAGGCCAAAAUUCCAAAUAAAUAUAUAUCUCCGUGCAUGCAUUGACUAUAACGAAGAUACAGGCAAUGAACACAUCCCAAACCAUUAGGGAGAAAGCUCAAGAAUGGUUAGUGUUUCUUUUUUACUUGAGAAAGGAGUAGUUGUUAGCAGAAGCCGUAUAAAUCUAAUGACCAUCCAAUUGGUCAUGAAAUACAUAGCCUGAUUCAGUUUCUAAUACGUUCAUGUGAAACUUGUAUUUCCUAACAACAUAAUGUGAAACAUAACAAACACCGUGGAUACUAUUGCUGUUACCGGUACUAAUAUAAUAAUAAUAAAAUAACAGCAAUAAUAAAUGACCAAUCUAGCGAUCUUCAAGAUAACGGUUAAAAUCUAACUUGGUGACAUUAUUGAGAUUUCAUCAAGGAUUUUUCAUACAAAAGCGAGCCUUCUGUACCAAACAAGUGUCGGAUCCAGGAUUUUAAGGUCGUUGGUGCUCACUUUCUUAAAUGAAAAGUUGCUACCCAUCACAUAGUAUAAACUCACAACUAUCUAAAUACGGUAAUAAAAACAGUUAAUAGAAAAACUACGGUUAAUAUUAUCAUUAGCAAAAAAGACUUCUAUUCACUAGCCACAAUGAACUACUAAUAAUGUUACUUUAUAAAAAAAGAUAUCUAGUCACAAGUUACAACUGUGCUCGACGACUUUUCAUACGUUGAAAACGAUCAAUAAUAUCAUCAUUGCUUACAGUUGCAAAUAUCUUACGCUCUACAUAGCAAACUAAACAACCAUUUAAAAAUUCAUCACCAAUGUUGUUACGAAGCUCAUUUUUUAUGUAGUUCAUAGAUGAGAAAGCUCGUUCCACAGAAGCAGCAGCAACAGGAAGAAUGAGAGUCAACUUGAUAAGCAAAUAAACAUGUGGCCAAGUUUAAUGCAAAUCUGUCUUAACCAACACUUUAGCAAGGUCACUAAUUCCCUUCAUGUUGAAGAACCUCUUGUCAGAACCACGGACAUAAACUAUAAAAUUAUCAAGCUGGCAACUGAGAUCUCGAAGCUUGCUGCUAUCAAACUCCUUUGGAUAAUGUUCAGCCAACCUCAUUAUCAUGUUCUUAUCAAAAUUACCAAAUGAAUUAGCUGGAUUUAAACAAGCCAUACCGAGAAGUAAGUCAGUACUCACAGUAUCAAAACGACUGUUAAGCUCUUGAAGAUGCAAAUCAAUGACAUCAUAAAAUAUGUCAACACGCAAAUGAUGAGAGUAUGUAACAUCAAGAGCUCUACACUUUAACUUUCCGGGAAAGUAGCGAGCGUCCAUCUUCGGGAUUAUUAUUUCAUGUUUAUCACAGAAGGAAGAAACAUCAUCCUUUAAUGAUUCAAAUUCACUAUCCCCCAUCUCUUGCAAUCUUUGCUUUGUAAGAGCGAGGAGUCCCAUAGAAUUGACAAUAUCUUGAUCCAUUCUUUGUAAUGAGGAGUUCAAUUCAUUUGCCAUCGUUAGAACUUUCAACAUCAAGUGCAACAUAAAAGCAAAAUCAAACUCCGUAAUCUUACUCACAAGACUUUUAGCAACAAUUCUAUCGGCAUAGUUUUGACACUCGCGUGCAGUAAAUUCAAGCACAUGAAUAAUGGAUGGAAAUAGGACAACAAGGUUAUCCAAUGUUUUAUAAUGUGAACCCCAACGAGUAUCACCUGGCCGUUGACGUCCACGCUAUUGAUUUAAUCCUCGCCCAGUAUGUAUUUCACCUAAUAUAAGCAAUUCCUCUAAUUUGUCAGCUUGAUGUUGUCGAAGCAAAUCCCUGCGCUUAAAAGAUUCUCCAACAAUAUUUAACACAUUAGUAACAAUACAGAAAAAGUCAUCUACAUCUGAAUGCUUCUUUGCAAGAGCCAUAAGUGUUAACUGCAAUUGAUGUGCAAAGAAUGCAAUGUGCUGAUUGAGUCUCAUUCAAAAUUAAAGUCUUAAGACCCUUUAGCUCUCCUUGCAUGUUACUAGCUCCAUCGUAGCCUUGCCCACGUAUAUGUGAUGUACUUAAUGAGUGACCCAUGAGAAAAGAGUCGAUUGCCUUCUUCAAUGAUUGAGCAGUUGUAUCAUUAACAUGAACGAUACCAAUAAAUCACUCUAUUACUUCACCUUCUUUAUUAACAUAUCUCAGAACAAGUGCCAUUUGCUCUUUGUGUGAUAUAUCCUCUGAUUCAUCAACUAGUAUCCCGAAAAAAUCUCCAUCCAAAUCUUCAAUGAUUGCUUUGAUUGUCUCUUUGGAACAAGCAUCAACAAUAUCCUUUUGAAUUAUUGGAGAACACAUCAUUUCAUUUUUUGGAGCAUUUUCUAAAAUAAUGCUUCCAACAUCCCGAUCAAUAUCUCCGUACCAUUGCAAAAGUUCAAGAAAGAUACCUCUAUUUGUUGAAGAAUGACUCUCGUCAUGCCCACGAAAUAGCAAUUCUAAUCUCAAGAGAAACCUCGCCACAUUGAUUGAAGCACUCAACCGACGUCUAGACUCACUUUUUUCUUUCUCGGAUUGUCUGUCAAAAGAACUGUGAAUUGAUUGUGAUUGAUUCAUUAAAUCAAUCAUCAUGUUGAAACAUUUGUUGUGGAUGCUAUUUACCUCUCCAAUAUGAGUUUUAAAUCUUUCAAUAGCCUUGUUCCAAGCUUUAAAACUAUUUUUUGUAAAAGCAUCUCUCAUAUUUCCAUGAGUUUCAUGUUCAUUUUUAAACAAAUAGCAACAUAAACAAUAUGCAACAUCUUUUACUAUAACUGUACUCCAACCAAUUAGAAUGUUGACCCUUGAACCAACUAGGACAAAACUGACGCAUUACCUUUCAGACGUAGUUUUAGGAAAAUCAUAUUUCAUGGGCCGGCAAGGUCCACUUUUAAUAUAAUGUCUUCUAACUUCAUCACGUAUAUUAGGGCUAUAUUCUGCAAUAGAUUUUCUAUCUCCUGGGUCAGGUUCGAGAGAUUCCAAAUCAAGAUCUGAAACAAAUGGAUCCCUCUGAAUUUCUGGAGCUAUGGAUGGAGCAAUAGAUGGAUGAGAACUAGAGCUAAAACUGGGUAGCCUUGUGACAAACUUAUCCAUCUCGAUUCACAAAGAUCGAUGAAAAAAUCCUACAAAAUAUGAUUCAGUCCUAAUCAAUCUUACCAAAAAUUUAAUUCACACAAUCCAAUUAAUUCCUAUUGUGGAAUCCAUGUCUCUCUAUAAACAACACACACAACAAGACAAUAACAACAUAUUUAAGUCCAUUCUUCGUUCCACUGGAAAAUUAAUCACACCUUUCAAACUAAAUACAACAUAAAAUUUUGAUCUUUAAAAAGCUAAGAUGAAAACUUACAAAUUUUCAAAGCUAGCAAUGAGCGAACGAGCACCAAUUCAUCGAUCGCAUAACCCACUGUUGCUAAUAUAAUCUGCAUUUAUCCCAAAAUUUUAGUUUCGGUGUCAAGUAAAUCAAUAACAUAGACAAUUCUUUCUUUUUUUUACUUUAUGACAAGUACCAAAAAUAUUUUUUUAUCACAAAAAUAUUGUAGUCACUGAAUGCAAAGUAACACAAAAAAUUCAUUGAAUAUAUUUUAAUUUUUACAAAGCAUAAGCAAUAAGCAUGAGAAAACCCCAAUUCAUGUUUCCUCUAGCUUGAAUUAAAAAUUUAAAAUACCAAACCUUAUUACCUUUUCCUUUAUGUUCUGGUUUUGAAAUUACUGGGGAGGACAAGUGCACUGCGUUUUCUUUCCAAGGAGAAGCCGAGAAGAAGGGUUUUUGGCUUUUUAAGAAGGUUUUAACUUUUAAGAUUAUUAGUUUUAUUAGGAAUAGGAAAAGUUAAAUAAAUAAAUAAAAGAAAAGGUCCUCAAAAAGUCAACAAGGAAAAGAAUAAAUAAAAAAGAAGAAAAG
rnacentral:lncRNA from 1 species